CUCUAGGAUUCGGAUUGCAGAUUGACAAGAGAAGAGGUGAAUAACUCUUGGGUUGCAGAGAAGAGGCAGUUCAUCAUUCAAUCAACAUCACUCUACAAGCUCUACAACCAAGUACUUAACGAACCGGAAGUUCACACAUAAACAUUGAACCGGAAGUUCACACAUAAACAUUGAACCAAAAGUUCAUACAUAAAUGUUGAACCAGAAGUUCACAUGUAUCGAACCUGUAGUUUCGACAACACUGAAAGAUUAUGAACCUUUCCAAGUAGGCUCAUCCAACUAGAUGCGAUGUCUAGACCAGCUUGAGCCCAGCAGGCCCAUUUUCCUUCCGCAAGACCGAGCAGCCCAACAGGCCUCACACACUAUUUGACUAAUGCAUGAAAGCCUGGGUCACGAGCUUGCAGCUAAGCCCCGUACGUAGGCUUUAUUAUCAAGCCCACUCUUUCUUUGGUCCAGUAGAACCAAAUAAAAGGAAAAAUGAUUUGAUUCUACUGAGAUUUGAACUCAGACAACGUCCAUGUCAUUAUGGCUAUUGUAAAUAAAUUCACCAUAUUUCAUAUGUGUAAUUAAU